AGUUCUCCAGAGAAUGUGCCCUUAAACCGAAAGGAGUUUUUGUUUUGCCAGAGAUCAGAGAAACAGGAACUUAGAAGGAGUAGCCGCUUGGCAUCUCGAGGGGAUUGUGGAUAAGAAGAUUCCCUUGGGAACCUUUGGGGAGUUUGGUCUCCCUUCGUUGGAAUCUGAUCUUCGUUCCAUAAAAGUGUCUUGCACUGCAAACAUCUUGCGGUGUCAACAUAGCGUUUUCUGAGAACACUUCACCGACUCCAGUUCCCUGAUUUCACCAAGCCAAGCCUCCUGUUCCUGGAGGCCAAGCUGAACCGUGACUCCUGAUUGAAACCAGAGUAAAUUCAUUUCCUUGCCUUGUUCCUGAAUCAAGAUUGAGUUUAACUCCAUAUCGUUCCUGCCUUGAUAUUCAAGAUUACCUAGUGACUUUGGACCUUGUUCUUUGGACCUUGUCAUUUACUCUUGCUUCAUUGUUGUUUUCCCCGCUCAAGAACUUUCAAACAGUUUUUAGCGUGUUUCGGUUUCUGGACUUUGGACAAUAAUAUUGGACAUUGGUAGAGAUUGGUAGAAAUUGCCCUUUCCAUGCAUGAAAACACCAUUUAGGAAUUAAAGCAAAUGUUAUUGGUCCAUUAUACCAGUUAUGCUGAUGUAGUGUUAGUUUGUGGUGAAAGAGGCUUUUCAUACCUGGCAGAAUUUGUCUGCCUUUCUUUCCUCUGCUAUACAACUUCCUACAUAGCAUGCCACCACGAUUUCAGCCUCUAGGUGUAUAUUGCCUUUUAUUUUCAUUUUUACUGUAGUGUUUACUCUUUCAUCUAUAAAGAGCCAUGCUUCUUCUUGGUUUGCUAAGACUGAAACAUGACUAUUGGAAUGUACUUUCUGCACCUAUUAAAAAGUCGACCCUAUAGACUUAAAAGCUACGUAUUUGUCUGGCGUGAUCUUAUAUGAGAAUAUGCUCUUUCAUGGAGAAGGAUCAGACUAUAAACCCAUCAAUCCAGCUGUCAAAAUUUUAGCUCCUGGCUGUUCAAGUUAUUGAAUAUGGCACAUU
rnacentral:lncRNA from 1 species